GCUCGAGUGGCGAACGGGUGAGUAACACGUGAGUAACCUGCCCUUGACUUUGGGAUAACUUCAGGAAACUGGGGCUAAUACCGGAUAGGAGCUCCUGCUGCAUGGUGGGGGUUGGAAAGUUUCGGCGGUUGGGGAUGGACUCGCGGCUUAUCAGCUUGUUGGUGGGGUAGUGGCUACCAAGGCGUGACGGGUAGCCGGCCUGAGAGGGUGACCGGCCACAUUGGGACUGAGAUACGGCCCAG
rnacentral:rRNA from 1 species